rnacentral:rRNA from 1 species
AGCGAACGCUGGCGGCAGGCUUAACACAUGCAAGUCGAACGGGCGUAGCAAUACGUCAGUGGCAGACGGGUGAGUAACGCGUGGGAACGUGCCUUUUGGUUCGGAACAACUGAGGGAAACUUCAGCUAAUACCGGAUAAGCCCUUACGGGGAAAGAUUUAUCGCCAAAAGAUCGGCCCGCGUCUGAUUAGCUAGUUGGUGAGGUAAUGGCUCACCAAGGCGACGAUCAGUAGCNGGUCUGAGAGGAUGAUCAGCCACACUGGGACUGAGACACGGCCCAGACUCCUACGGGAGGCAGCAGUGGGGAAUAUUGGACAAUGGGCGCAAGCCUGAUCCAGCCAUGCCGCGUGAGUGAUGAAGGCCUUAGGGUCGUAAAGCUCUUUUGUGCGGGAAGAUAAUGACGGUACCGCAAGAAUAAGCCCCGGCUAACUUCGUGCCAGCCGCCGCCGU